rnacentral:snRNA from 1 species
AUAAUUUUCUCGGUCUUCUGGCUAAAAAAGUUUAGUAUUUGUUUUUAUUAGUUUAACAUUUGGUUCGUGGACCAUAUAUCUAUUUGAUAUUAAAUUUAUUUUUUUAUGAGGAAUAUCCACCAUAUUGGGUUGUCACUGGAUCCUCGUGUGUCACCUAGCUCCUGGUUUGACGUGACCCAC